rnacentral:rRNA from 1 species
UACGGGGGGGGCAAGCGUUGUUCGGAAUUAUUGGGCGUAAAGCGCGUGUAGGCGGCCAUGCAAGUCGGGUGUGAAAUCCCUCAGCUCAACUGAGGAAGUGCGCCCGAAACUGCAAGGCUUGAGUACCGGAGAGGAUGGCGGAAUUCCCCAAGUAGAGGUGAAAUUCGUAGAUAUGGGGAGGAACACCGGUGGCGAAGGCGGCCAUCUGGACGGAUACGUGACGCUGAGACGCGAAAGCGUGGGGAGCAAACAGG